rnacentral:rRNA from 1 species
UACGGGGGGGGCUAGCGUUGUUCGGAAUUACUGGGCGUAAAGCGCGCGUAGGCGGCUUUUCAAGUCAGACGUGAAAGCCCCAGGCUUAACCUGGGAAUUGCGUUUGAUACUGUUAGGCUAGAGUGUGGAAGGGGCUACUGGAAUUCCGUGUGUAGCGGUGAAAUGCGUAGAGAUCCGGAGGAACACCAGAGGCGAAAGCGGCGCUCUGGGCUGCACCUGACGCUGAACUGCGAAAGCGUGGGGAGCAAACAGG